AACCUUGCGAGGGAGUGGUCAGCUUGACGCAAGCAUGACGAUGAUUCUGAGGUCAACAGUUCGGAUGAACCCUUUCAGACAGGUGCCCUGACAAGGCAAACAUUGCACUUGCUCACCCCGUGUGUGUGUUUGGACACGUGUGUAGUGGUAAAGAAGACAACAGGUAAAGGUUUCUUUUAAUUCCACCAUCUUGUCAUCGUGUCCACAUUUUGAGAGAAAAUAGACCUCUGGACGUUUUCUUCUUUUUUCUCUUAAAAUAUUGUAGCGAAUACAGAAAGCAGUUCAAACUACACUUGCGACAUCAGGAAGGACGCCAGGUACAUUUACUACCGACGACGACAGGACGAGGACAACCUCAUUCAUCACCUUUACAGUCAUGACGUCUCUGUUUGGGUUCAAGGCCGCUCGUAAAGUCAGGCCAAUAAUGUCGGUGUCGACAUCGCACGCUCAUGGCUGCCAUGGCAACGCCUGUGGACCACGUACGAACCGUUACAAGGGUCGUGUGGGUGACUAGCCGCGCUCAUGAUGUCGCACACAUGGUGACCAGAAACACCCUCAAGUCAGCUCAACAUUUGCGAAGAACUUACAAACAUUUCUUCAGGUCUUGAAUAUUUGACUCAUUAGCGACAGUAAACUACAUCCAACAUGAUUCCAAAAGGGACAAGCAGUCCAUACUUUUCUUAUUUCUUGUUAUUAACAUGCUU